rnacentral:lncRNA from 1 species
AAAACAGCAGGGAGCUGAGGAUACUUGUCUAGAGGAGAGGGAGAGAUCGGGGAAGAAGGAAAUGGCAUCCUAGAGGCAGAAACCACGUGCUUCAGAGGCUCAGCCGUGUAUUUUGAUGCAUGAACCAGCAUGUCCAUAGCUUCGAGGUUCUGUCAGCCCACGAGGCCCCUGGAGUCUUGGGAGGAGGCAGAACCACGAAGUCCAUGAUGGAACGAGAGACAUUCCUGGGGAUUGAAGCCAAGACCUUCACACUGCUGUACACUCUCAGCCCUUUUUUGUUUUUAUUUUGAGGCAAGGUCUUCCAAAGUCACCAAGUUACAUGGGCUGGGCUAGAGCUUACAAUCCUCCUGCCUCAGCCUUCCAGAGUUACGGGGUUACAGGUCUGCGUCACCAAGGUCAUCGGCUCUUUGUGCCUUUUGAGAGUUUGCAGCGAAAGGCCUGGGGUGGCCCAGAGUCAGCAAAGCCAUGGAGGGAAUAGGAGUUGGCCACAUGCAAAAGAAAGCGAGGCCACGCUGGACACGUUGCCCUGGCCUGCAUGUUUCCUGCAGCCUUGAGGCAAAGACAAACUGCAAAACGGAGUGGUUGCAGGUCACCUUUGAGCUCCAAGCUCAUCCCAAAGCUUCCCCUUUGGACAACUCUUCCCUGGAAGCAGAGCAACACGGCUCUUACGGUGUCCAAGCAGAGCAGCUGUCUCAUAGAUGUGCGAUGCAAGUCAGGUGGGGGAUUUGAAAUGUUGAAGUCGGAUUUUAAAAAUGGGGAAACGAAAUGGAAAAUUAAUUAAUUAAUUGCUAUACAUAUAUAAUUUGCAGUGUUGGGAAGGGAACUCUCGGCCUUUGCACUGAGCUACAUUCCCAGCCCUUUGUAUUUUUUAUUUGAGACAGGGUCUCACUCAGUUGCUUCGUUGCUCAGGCUGGGCUGGAACUUGUGACUGUCCUGCCUCAGCCUCCCCGAGUGCUGGGAUUAUAUGUGUAUGCCACCGUGCCCAGCUGAAAUUCCUUUUAAUAGUACAUCGAAUUCAGUAUCAGCAUCAUCCAAUGUGUAAUCGCUGAGUGAUCACUGCUGAGACAACUCUCUGUCCUUUCUACUCAGCCUUCAAAGCUGGUCGGGCUUGGCCAGUGUUAGAGCCCCGGAGCUGGCGGCUGCCAUCCUGGAGCCAGUGUCACUGUCCCCCAGAAACCCUAAACACACUUUUGGACACAUCUGGGUCCGGGCCCUUGCGGGACACGGCGCCUGCAGGGGACUUGACAUGAAGACCCUGUUUCCAGAGCCUCCCCCUGCUCUAGGGCUGAGGAGCCCACCUUUGUCCUCAUGGGCCAGCUCAGCCCCUGUUCCCUGCCCUGGCUGAGAAAAGCCAGCUGUGGCCAACACUGUGGCCCACGUGACGUGACUUCCCCACGUGGCCCGGGUCUCACAGCCUGUCCUCGAGUCUCGGAGGGCUGGGUGGAGCUGGUGUGAGAGAGCACAGACAACCUUCCCAGGGCUGGACGGAGCCAAACAGCAACUGCAGUGUUUGGUUAGACGCUGAGGGAGGUGCCCUCCGCCCGCGCCCUCCCGGGCCCCCAGCUUCUCCCUAAAGGCUGCUGUGCAGUCACACCUUCUGCUCAAGGGCCAGGGGCAGAUCGAUAUCAGGGUGGAGCUCAGGUGGGCGGGUCAGGAUGAGACUGGGUGGGGUGUCUGUGGGAACAGGGAACGAGUUCUGGAGAACAAGGGGUGGAGACAGAGAAGAGACUGGAGGACACUGGGCCUGUGGGCUCAAUGUGGCCAGGAGGCAGUAGCUUGGGGAGAGGAAGUGGGGCUGCUCAUGGGCAGUCCCGUCAGCAGUGACACAUUGGCCCUGUCCCUUCCUCUCUCAAGGACUCCUGUGUGCCUUAGGGAGAAUUAGUUAAGUCUCCAUGGCCAUGACAUUUAGGGGCUUCUCUUGGUGCUUCCUCAGGGCCCUGGAGACCUGGGGCAGGGAGGGUCGCAGGAGGCCAGAGGGCCAUGUGUUUGUCACUUGUCUGGGCUCCAGCAGCCUGGCUCUGUUUGCAAAACACCAAGAUGAGAUUAGGCAAUUCUGCAAACAGAACCAAGGUCCUGGCCAGCUGCCCAGGGUGUUUAAAGUCCCGGGCACCAGGCAGGCAAUGUGCACGUGGCCGCGCAGCUCAGAGCAGGCUGGGGAGGUGCAGGCGCAGGAGGCUGGAGCCUGACUGAGCAGAGGGUGCCCUUGGCCGGUCGGUCCCAGCCACCUUGGCACAGGCGUCAGUGGAUAUGAACUCGAGACAGCUGACAGCGGGUAACAUCAAUUAUGUGCAGAACAGCAGAGGUAUUAGGAGGAAUGGGGACAGCCUAUCCACUCUUUACCAGCUCACAUGGUGACUGAGCCUAAGCUAAUCUGGUGAUCACACCGAGAGCAUUCUCACAAAUGACGGUAGGACGUUGGCAGCUCUUAGUGCUUUGACUCAAUUGAUCAUCGUAUUUUAAAAUGUCAACUGAAGGAAAACAGGAAUGGGACCCACUGUCUACAGAGUCUCCCCCAGCAGUGUUAGUGCCAUCGUAAGUAAGCACAAAAUAAGUACUUAGCGAAGGGGACUGGCAGGCUUGGCCCCAGCUCACCUCUUGGCUCCUCUGCCUACUGAGUGAUCAAAAGGUCAGGCUGAAAGCCCUUUGGAUUUUCUACGUGGAGCUCGGGAAACUUGUAGCUAGGAGAUAAAAGGGAGUGGAAGUAGAUUACAUUGAAUGUCGUUUGUUAAAUGCUGUCUCCUGGCUUCUGUGUUUGUUUUUAUUUAUAGUUUAUCUUUUUCCUCCUGCCCACUCCUGUUACCAAGGUCCCCUCCCUGGCUUCUUGUGCAUUUUUCCAGAGAUACACAACCAAGCACGUGCGUGUGUGCACACACACACACACACACAGAUGGGUACACAAAGGCGCAGACAAACAUACACACACAUACACAGGACAGGCAGAUAGACACGUAGAAUCACACAUUCACAUAGACCCACACACAGGCACUUUAUAUCUAGGUAGGCAAAUACAUGUACAUCUGUAUAUUCUCCCCUUUAUUUUACUUGAAUUUUAGCUUACUGCUUCCUUGCUCUUUUCACUUAACAAUAUUCUUUGGAAAUCAUUCCAUAUCAACACAUAAAUUGUUUCCUAAUUUUCCUGGCUUGCGCACGGUUUCCAUUGCACGGAUAAACCUUAUUUAUUUUACCAUUGCCUACCAGCAGUCACUUAGGUCAACUCCAGGCCUCUUGCUGUCACAAACAAAGCUGCGAUGAGUCACGUUACCCAGGCCUGAUUUGGCAACCUAUCCAUUAAAGUCCUAGAAAAAGAAUUGCUCAAUCCUCCCUGCAUUUGUAAUGUUGGUAAAUAUUGUCCAGUUACCUUGUGUGGCAGUCUCGCCAGUGUUGCUCGCCACCGGAAACGUUGGCCCAAGCGUGUCCUCACACCCUUCCUGAGAACAUGUUUCAACAAUGUUUUAUUCUUUGCUAAUUUGGGGAAAAUGAGUAUCUACGCGGGUGUGCGCUUCUGUUAUGGGAAAUGAUGGUUAAGACUCCUGUGGUUUCAGUGUGUUUGUCUCCCAGGGGUUCGUGCUUUGAGGGCUUGGACUUCAGGGUGACAGUGGGGAACUGGGAUGCUUUAGAAGCACAGACCUGUCACCCCAGCCCUCUGAGAGGCUGAGCCCUGAGGAUCAUGAGUUCCAAUCUACCCAGGACAACUGAGCGAGACCCUGUCUCAGAAUAGAAAUGGUUUUUAAAGAGGCCUCAGUGCAAAGGCUCUGGGUUCAACCCUCAGUACUACACACACACACACACAUACACACACACAAAGGUGCUAGGGCCUAAUGUGAAGUCCUUAGGUCCCUCGACACAUGUCCUCAGAAGGGGUUGGCAUAGUCCUCAAGGAAACCCGGAUUUAGUUCUUCAGAGUGAGUUGCUAUGGAAGCCAGAGCCUGACCCUGAGCUGUCCCACCCAGCUUCCUGUCUGGUGAGAUGAUCUCUCUCUUCCCCUCAUGCCCCUUUCACGAAGCCCUCUGCCCUGACGCCUCACCCGUGUGGCACCUGAUCUCGGACUCUCAGCCUCCAGAAUGUGUUCCAUAAACCUCUUUACUUCAUAAGUCCCCUGCUUCAGGUAUGUUGUUACAGUAAUGAAAAAUGGACUAAAACAAGAACCAUUUCCUUUUCUGUAAACCAAUUUGCUUUAACAUUUUAAAAACUUCCUGUUAUUUUGAAAGGCUGAAACACAUCCCUGAAUGUUAAAAUCUC